UACGUAGGUGGCAAGCGUUGUCCGGAUUUACUGGGCGUAAAGGGCGUGCAGGCGGCUUGUUAAGUGCAGGGUGAAAGCUCCCGGCUCAACUGGGAGAGGUUCUUGCAUACUGGCGAGCUCGAGGGAGGCAGAGGAAAGUGGAAUUCCCGGUGUAGUGGUGAUAUGCGUAGAUAUCGGGAGGAACACCUAUUGCGAAGGCAGCUCGCUGGGACGUAACUGACGCUGAGGCGCGAAAGCGUGGGGAGCAAACAGG
rnacentral:rRNA from 1 species